rnacentral:rRNA from 1 species
UUUGAUCCUGGCUCAGGAUGAACGCUAGCGGCAGGCCUAACACAUGCAAGUCGAGGGGUAGAAAGAGCUUGCUUUUUGAGACCGGCGCACGGGUGAGUAACGCGUAUGCAACUACCUUAUACAGGGAAUAGCCCGAAGAAAUUCGGAUUAAUGCUCCAUGGUUUAUCGAUAUGGCAUCGUAUUGAUAAUAAAGAUUUAUCGGUAUAAGAUGGGCAUGCGUAUCAUUAGCUAGUUGGUGUGGUAACGGCAUACCAAGGCAACGAUGAUUAGGGGUCCUGAGAGGGAGAUCCCCCACACUGGUACUGAGACACGGACCAGACUCCUACGGGAGGCAGCAGUGAGGAAUAUUGGUCAAUGGAGGCAACUCUGAACCAGCCAUGCCGCGUGCAGGAUGACGGUCCUAUGGAUUGUAAACUGCUUUUGUACAGGAAGAAACCUCCCUACGAGUAGGGACUUGACGGUACUGUAAGAAUAAGGAUCGGCUAACUCCGUG